CCUACGGGAGGCUGCAGUGAGGAAUAUUGGUCAAUGGACGUAAGCCUGAACCAGCCAAGUCGCGUGAGGGAUGAAUGUUCUAUGGAUCGUAAACCUCUUUUAUAAGGGAAUAAAGUUCAGGACGUAUCCCGUUUUGUAUGUACCUUAUGAAUAAGGAUCGGCUAACUCCGUGCCAGCAGCCGCGGUAAUACGGAGGAUCCGAGCGUUAUCCGGAUUUAUUGGGUUUAAAGGGUGCGUAGGCGGCCUUUUAAGUAAGUGGUGAAAGUCUGUGGCUCAACCAUAGAAUUGCCGUUGACACUGGGUGGCUUGAGUAUGGCAGAGGUAGGCGGAAUUCGUGGUGUAGCGGUGAAAUGCUUAGAUAUCACGAAGAACCCCGAUUGCGAAGGCAGCCUGCAAAGCUAUGACUGACGCUGAUGCACGAAAGCGUGGGGAUCAAACAGGAUUAGAUACCCGAGUAGUC
rnacentral:rRNA from 1 species